rnacentral:rRNA from 1 species
UACGAGGGGGGCGAGCGUUGUCCGGAUUCAUUGGGUGUAAAGGGCUCGUAGGCGGAUCGAUCAGUCGGGACUUAAAUCCCACGGCUUAACCGUGGAGCUGGUCUCGAUACUUACGGUCUUGAGUUCGGUAGAGGAAGGCGGAAUUCCUGGUGUAGCGGUGAAAUGCGUAGAUAUCAGGAAGAACACCAAAGGCGAAGGCAGCCUUCUAGGCCGAAACUGACGCUGAGGAGCGAAAGCGUGGGGAGCGAACAGGAUUAGAUACCCUCGUA